rnacentral:rRNA from 1 species
CACGUAGGGCGCAAGCGUUGUCCGGAAUUAUUGGGCGUAAAGGGUGCGUAGGCGGUUUGGUAAGUCUUGUGUGAAAUCUACAGGCUCAACUUGUAGUCUGCACGAGAAACUGCCGGGCUUGAGUAUGGGAGAGGUGAGUGGAAUUCCUGGUGUAGCGGUGAAAUGCGUAGAUAUCAGGAGGAACACCUGUGGCGAAAGCGGCUCACUGGACCAUAACUGACGCUGAUGCACGAAAGCUAGGGGAGCAAACAGG